AUACAAUUCUGUCACCAUGGGGAUGGGCCAGGGUUUUUUCCAGUUGGUCCAGAUCCCUCAAUCUGCCUGGAGAAGCCGAGUCCAGAGAAUUGUGAUUGGUGCACACGAAAUGGGAUGAGGAAGAAGCUGUCAGCCUUGCUGGGAGGGUUCUACAGAAUUUGGCACACAGCCUGCCUGAACAAGGAAUUUUGGAAACUACUGCUCAUAUCUACAUGAUUGUACUUUUUGGAUUAAAGACAAUUGGAAUGGAUCUGCCUUAGUCUCCCUCUUUGAUGGAGAAUUUUGUUUUGAAAUAAUAAAGGAAAAGAAAAAUCUGAAAUAUUAUGGAAAACAAAUAUAGAAAAGAAAUACGCUACCUGUAGU